CCUACGGGAGGCAGCAGUGGGGAAUAUUGCACAAUGGGGGAAACCCUGAUGCAGCGACGCCGCGUGAAGGAAGAAGUAUUUCGGUAUUUAAACUUCUAUCAGCCGGGAAGAAAAUGACGGUACCUGACUAAGAAGCCCCGGCUACCUACGUGCCAGCAGCCGCGGUAAUACGUAGGGGGCCAGCGUUAUCCGGAUUUACUGGGUGUAAAGGGGGCGUAGGCGGUUUAGCAAGUCAGAAGUGAAAGCCCGGGGCUCAACUCCGGGACUGCUUUUGAAACUGUUGAACUAGAUUGCAGGAGAGGUAAGUGGAAUGCCUGGUGUAGCGGUGAAAUGCGUAGAUAUUAGGAGGAACACCAGUGGCGAAGGCGGCUUACUGGACUGUAAAUGACGCUGAGGCUCGAAAGCGUGGGGAGCAAACAGGAUUAGAUACCCGAGUAGUC
rnacentral:rRNA from 1 species